rnacentral:lncRNA from 1 species
AUGGUGGAAGCAGAUGGGCCUGGCAAUCUUUUCACUGGUGUCCUCCAUUUAGAAACCAAUGAAAAGUCGCUUAAAGCAGUAUUUGGGAAAUAUGGUCCCAUAUUGGAAGUUUUUCUGAUAAAUGAUUGGGAAACCAGCAAUUUCAGAUGCUUUGCAUUUAUUCUGAGAAUGUUGCAGAUGAGUCCGUCCCAUGUCACAUGGAUGAGGGAAUUAUGGAGGUCCUCUAUGCAGAGAGCCAGUCUCUUACCAGAGAAAUGACCAUGUAUCACCAAGAGAUGAGAGUUAUGCAACUAAGGAUAAUUCAUACAAAUUCCUGAGACACCAGAGAUUAUGCUCCAUCAUCUAGAGAUUAUGGAUACCGUGAUUAUGGUCGUUCUAGUCAGGAUGAGCAUUCCUCUAGAGGAUAUAGUGACCAUGAUGACUAUAGUGGGGGCCUUGGUAGAGAUCAUUCUGAACAUCCAAAUGGGAGUUCUUACAGAGAUGCAUAUCAGAGUUAUGGGACCUUCUAUGGUGCACCACCUGCAUGAUGGCCUUGGAUGAGUUACGGUGGAAGUAGUCGCUAUGAUUAUAACAGCACAUGAGAUAGAUAUGUAGGAGCUGGGAGAGUUACUCAUGGAGCUGUGGUGAUUUAUAUUCCUGUGGUCAUGAGCACUGUGGCAGAAAAGAAUGAAGGAAUCUACCUUCUCUGGAUAGGGUACACCCUGCUCCUCAUGAAGGAUAUGGUAGCUCAAGUUAUGGGGCAUCUACAGGAAGCGGUGGGGGAAGCCAAUAUGAAAAAGGAGACUGAAGCGAUAUUAAAGGAGAUAUUAA